rnacentral:lncRNA from 1 species
CGUGUACACCUGCGUGCAGCCUCAUUCAUGCUCUUGCAAAUCUGGAUUUCACCACACAAAUUCUGUCAUGAGAGCUCAUGGGGGUCAUCUGGCCCACUGACAUGGUGGGAUUUUUGAGAACCUUCUCCUGUGCUUGGCAGUAGCCAACUACUGCUAAACCACCAGCUGCACUAAAAAUGGUAUAACAUUUUCAUGGGAGUGCAGGCCAAGUCACUCGAAGAAAACAUUAGCUGGUGUAUGCACAGUGGGUGAGCUUUGAGAGACAUGAGCAUUGUACUUGGGUUUUCUUGUCAUUUGGUAUCUGCUGCCGACACAUUCCUGCAGCUGAGAUGUGCUGGAAUGCUGAGUAUGAGAAGAGUGAUAAUCCAGAAUAUGGCAGCCUUGUUAUAGCAAGGGGAACUACCCUGUCCCAUGUGCCAGAGAGAAAUACAACCAUGUAGGAACUGUUGUUAUUAAAGUAGCAGAUGUGUGUAUUUGCUUCCUUUCUGCCAUUUCUGCUGUUAGCUUCUGAAACAUCUGAUAUUUUAAUCUUCUACAGAGCAGAAAAUGAAAUAGUUUUGUCAUGUGUAAAUUUGUAAGAGACAUCAGAUUGGGAGUAUGUGCUGAAAAACCCAGGUGUUCCAUGGUUUUGGCUUCUUUGUGCAGCUGUGGAAAUGUUUAUUUGUAAGAACUCCAGUGCCUGUUGAGUUGUGCCUCUUUAUUUUUCCUCUUACACAUUUACAUGUUUAAUGUGCUGCAAAAGGUUUGAAAACAAAGUUUCAAGACUUAAGCAUAGCUACCAAACUAGGGAGAAAUCCUCAUGGGAGAGUGGAGUUCACUGUUGCUCUACACGACAGGCGGUAUCAGAGUUCAAUAAGACAUUGGCAGUAGCCAUGGAAAACUCCUCAGAAGGAAAGUGUCAUGUGCUAAAAAAGAAAAUAAUCUACACAUACACUGUUAUCUAUUUGGGAUUUUUGUAUCUUUUAUACCUUUCUGUUUCUUUUGAUGUUUCUGCCCUGUUCCUUUUCUACUUUUAUACUGUUCCUCUGUGUUAGUUGGGUCUAAUGACACAAAUACAAAUAAGGAAAACAAGUUUAUCUUAAGGAAAAAACUGACUAAAACCCCUAAAGUUCUGUCCGCUUUGUCAUCAGCAGGUGCUUUCUGCUCUUUUCUGUUAUGUUCCUGGGCCCACAAGACUUUGAUGAACAGCAGUGAUUAAAAACAGGCCCUGAGAAAAAAAGUUCAUCCCCCCCAUCACUGGAACAUGUACCUGUUUGCACAGAUCUGCUGUGGCUGAGAGCCAGAGCUCUGCAAGAGGAAAACUCAUAAAUGAAAAAUGAUGGAAUGGAGUAAGGGAGUAAAUAUACUUUUCAAACCCCAUGAGAAUAUCACAGCCAAAAAAAAAAAAAAAAAAAAAAAAAAAAGAGGCAAUUCACAUUACAUUUUCAAGUAAUGCAGUGAAUUUGAUACUGGUGGUGUUUGGGUGACUUACUGAGAAAGUGUCUCUAUAAAUAAAAAAUCAAA